GUUUGUGUAUAUGGUGGUGUGGAAAGACCUUGGGAUUUUUGUAAGUAAUGGCAAAAUUCUUGCUUGGAUUAUGGAUGCAUUAUUACUCUGCUUUAAAAUUGUUUUCUACUCUGUUUCAUGGAUAUAUAAUUUUUGAUAUUAUAAAACCUAGUAGUACAGAAAGAUAUGCUUUCUUUCCUUUCUUAUCCUUCUUUUCUUGUGCCUUUUCCAUAUUUUUCUGUGAAAAUAACAUCUUUCAGGGAAAAUAGCACAAAGAAAAGCCAAUCAUACUUUAUUUAUUUACAAACCAAAACAAAGGUAUUGUAGAUUCUAUUGCUAUUUUGCUCUUGUCUCUGGUUUGUGAUGGUACACUGGAUGCCCUUCUAACCUCUUUCCUCCUUCAAUUUGGCAACACAAUUUCACACUAUGUUGUAUGUAGAUCAUUUGGUCUUUUUGUUUAUUUAUAUGUUUUUACCACAUUCAUUCCUUCUUCAUGAUUCACUUCUAAGUUAUAAAUAUUGAAUUAUUAACACUACCAAUUUUUUUUAAACAAUAGGCACGAUGAUUGGAACAACCUGCAAAAAGGAGCCUUUUAUCUUCAGAGAGAAAAGACAACACCAUCUGGAACAGACCACUCUGAGUCUCCAGGGCCAAGGAGAGCGAGAACAUGAGGCACAGAAAGCCAUGAUAACUCAUACCAUGAUCUGGACCUGCUCACAACAAGUAAAUAGAAUGCAGUGGCUCUGUUAUCCACAGGCUUGUGUGGAUCCCUUGAGUGUCCCAGAGUCACACCAGGGACACUCACUCUAGACUUUUGUGCCCAGCAGCAGAAGCAGAUGCUCCAGUAAUGCUAUAGGGUUAAAAUUUAAGUAUUAUUCUAAUUUGGAAUCCCUGCUUAAAAUCAGUAAAGAAAACCAUUUUACUGCAGGCACAGCUGAUAGCAACAAAAUGUCAUGUACAGGAGGUUAUCAUUACCACUAACUUUGCACAAAUUUACGAAUUACUUGAAAGUAGGAGUUGGCAAAUAAAACAAAACAGAAACAAUAAGUGCCUACA
rnacentral:lncRNA from 1 species